rnacentral:rRNA from 1 species
UACGUAGGGUGCGAGCGUUAAUCGGAAUUACUGGGCGUAAAGUGUGCGCAGGCGGCCGCGCAAGUCGAGUGUGAAAGCCCCGGGCUUAACUUGGGAAUUGCGCUCGAAACUACGUGGCUGGAGUGUGGCAGAGGAAGGUGGAAUUCCACGUGUAGCGGUGAAAUGCGCAGAUAUCAGGAGGAACACCGGUGGCGAAGGCGGGUCUCUGGGCAAUAACUGACGCUGAGGAGCGAAAGCGUGGGGAGCGAACAGG